rnacentral:rRNA from 1 species
GCAUGCUUACCAUGCAGUCUAGGGGCGUUGUAGCAAUAUAGCGUCACUGGCGGACGGGCGAGUAACGCGUAGAUAAUCUGCCUCUAUCCCCGGAAUAACGUUUCCAACGAGACGCUAAGAACGGAUGAGGUGUCGUAAGACAUCAAAGGGCGACCGGAUAGAGAUGAGUCUGCGUCUGAUUAGGUAGUUGGUGAGGUAACGGCUCACCAAGCCGACGAUCAGUAGCUGGUCUGAGAGGACGAACAGCCACACUGGAACUGAGACACGGCCCAGACUCCUACGGGAGGCAGCAGUGAGGAAUAUUGGUCAAUGGGAGCAAUCCUGAACCAGCAAUGCCGCGUGCGGGACGAAGGGGCUUUGCCCUGUAAACCGCUGUCAGGGGGGACGAGAGUUCGCUUAGGGCGAAUGGGACGGUACCCUCGAAGGAAGGAUCGGCUAACUACGUGUCAGCAGCCGCGGUAAUACGUAGGAUCCGAGCGUUGUCCGGAAUUACUGGGUGUAAAGGGUGCGCAGGCGGUUUUGUGCGUCAGAGGUGAAAUCCACGGGCUUAACUCGUGGGGUGCCUUUGAAACGGCAGAACUUGAGUACGGGAGAGGCGAGUAGAAUUCCUGGUGUAGCAGUGAAAUGCGUAGAUAUCAGGAGGAAUACCGGUGGCGAAGGCGGCUCGCUGGCUCGUAACUGACGCUCAGGCACGAAAGCGUGGGUAGCAAACAGGAUUAGAUACCCUGGUAGUCCACGCCUUAAACGAUGUAUGCUUGGUGUUUGCCCGCAAGGGGAAGUGCCGGAGAGAACUUUUUAAGCAUACCACCUG